CGGCCUCGGGGCCGUUUUUCAUUGCCCACCGCCCCACUCAUCGCCCCACCUCUUCCCUCCCCCAGCCACCGCCUGCCUCUAUCUGCACGCGCCGCCGGACCGCCGCCAAUGCUCCAGGCACCCGGUCCACCGCGCCCACGCUCGAGGCGCCCGGGCCGCCCCGUCCACGCUCCAGGCAGACCGCGUCGCCCACGCUCGAGGCUCCCAGGCCGCCCCGUCCAUACUCCAGGCGGACCGCGGCGCCAUAGCUCCAGGCGCCCGGGCCGCCCCGUCCACGCGCCGACCGGACCGCCAGCUCACGCUCCAGCUGCUCGGGCCGCCGUGUCCACGCACCGCCCGGACACAGGCGCCGCCGGUCCUCCAUGCUGUAGGUGCUUUCCCCUCACAUUCUUCCUGGUUGCAGUGACAAUUUUUGGUUUAAUUGUACGCAUGUUCAAUACCACUGCCUUCUAAUUUCUGCUGCUGUGAGUUCUAGGCUUGCUUCAUAGAGUGCCAUAGUUAAAACAGAUGCAAACAUAUGUAUUGCAGCGGUGGACUGCAUAAUGGGAUAGAUGUACAUAAUGGGAAGAUGAUUCCGAUCUGUCUAUCUAUGUUGAGGCUCCUGCACUUUAUGUUGCUUACUCUGAACUCUGUAGUCGCACAUUGUACAUACUGUUCCAAUGUCUGAUUAUUAUAUAUGCUUUUUCACCUCUUUCUGUACUUUGUUGAUUUUUCUUUAACAUUUUUGUUUUUCCUAAAGGAUGUGCAAGAGUAAUCCAGACAAAGUUCCAGGAACGACUACGCAUCGUUCCCCAUUUAAAGACAUAACGAACUGCUCAGGCUCUGAAUAUUGUUAAUGGUCAACUAACAGCUGAGGCACAUGCUUCGUUAGGAUCCAAGGAAUGUACACCUUUGAGAAACAUAACCAACACACACACACACACAAAUGGUAUGUUCAUACUCUGCAUAUCAUAAUUAUUGAAUGACCAUUUACUCUUUUUGCUAGGAGGUUCGUCUCCUGUGUUGUGUCAGAUGCAACAUGUACAGAAGCCGCAGGACGCCCUUGCACAGCGGGAUCUGCCGCCUCCCUUGGACUUCGCCGGCAAGGCGUGAUCCAUCGUCGCCGCCCCACUCCUCCCAUGGGAGGAUGCGGCUGCUAUCAUCAACCUCCGCUCCAUGGGCGUGCUCCCAAAUUCAAUCUUAAAACAACAGUAAAAUCUUUGAGGUCAACAUGCGUUCCUUGCUGGGAGGAAUUUGCUUGCUUGUUUGUUUUUGUGUUGCUUGAUGCAUGUUUGUGAAGAUGCUAAAACUGUUCCGUCAAUUUGAUGAUUUAUUGAUUGGUGCUUGGUAAAUGCUUGUGGAAAUGCUUAGUAAGCUGAUGAUAUGUUAGAUUUGCAGAGACUGAUGUUGCAUGAUGCAAGAAGAAACAUGUGGUUCCGUUGCGAAUCACCACAGCAAUGCAGUAAGUUUCCAGAUUGAUGCUAUUGUUAAUGCACACGAGGGAAUACAUGGUUAUUAUUUUGACCAUAUCGGUGCCAUGGAAGCUGGAGAAUUUUUAUCUACUAUACUUGUUCGUUGCCUGUAUCAUAUUGCAGUUCCAAAGUCCACAUAAGGUAUUCCAUUAACAUUUCGUCCACCAUUUUUUCCACCACUCGAUCACAUAAUGAAUAUCAUGAACAUUCAUACCAAGUUAUUUUGUGUCCUGUCAGUAAGUUUAAAUAAUACAUAAUUCAUUAGCGUGUACUCUGUCAUAGGAUGUUGCUUUACAUGUAAGAUUUUUAUCCCCUUUCUAAUGCUAAUGAUGAAGAUAAUCCUUUUGUGGAAUUAAGCUUCAUUUAGGGUGGAUAAUGUAUGGUUGUGCAUAUGUUGUGUAUUUUUUUAUAUUAAAUGCAUAAUUUUUUCUGGUAUUAAAACAAGUGAGAUUGGUUACAAAUAAACAAGUUAGUUCAGCAGCAUUCACGUUUUUCAACUGGAAUCAUUUUGGCCAGAGUUAUUCCGACCUUUUUGCAAAGUGGUUGAAAUUUUCCUUUGCACUGCAGUUUGGGCGCACCAUGUUUUAAUUGAGAAGGUCGUUGUUGGUAAAUUGAGAGUUCAAAUAGGUCCUUCGACGAGGGUGGCGCUUCGGUGUCGACUGUGGUUCCUUCGCUACCCUCCUCAUUCGGUGUUCCACCUCACCACUCCCCAGCAGUGGAAGCAGAGCAGCCGACGGGUUCCUGGCUUACCUGCCUCGCAAAGAGGCAGUCAUGACUAAACCUGAAAAAAUGAUGCUUCCUGUAUACAUUAGUAGAGGGAAAAAAUGACUUGAUUUCUGUAGGAGUGUGUUGUGGAUUAAGUGGAUAUGUAAUGUCCUUUAAAAAAGUGGAUAGGUAAUGUACUAUUCUUGAUUGCAGCUGGUGCUUUUUUGGAAAUUUGAUAACACCACGAGCAGCAAUCGAUUUUGAAAGCCAAAAAACAUCCAAAACAUGUACAGUGGGAGUACUGCUAGUUUAGGAGCAAAGUAACCAUUACUAGAGUAAUGAAUAUGGGAAAUGAAUAGUUGAUGAAAUUGAGCACUCUUGUAAUUCUCGACAGUGAAAUGGUCUUUUUUUUUGUCCCAGUAAAGGUUGGAGGUACAAUCAGCUUCAAUCUUGAGUACCCAAUUGUAGAGAAUUCGAAAGGAGGCACAACAUAUAUGGAAGUAUGAACUCUGGCAGUAACAAUUUUAUGUUUCCAAGUUAGGUUGAUGAUGUUCAGGUUAAUGGACAACUGUACAGACACUUAAUAGAACACAAACUUUUGUUGUUGAGUUCAAUCUAAAGUGUCCCGUGUAUAUUUUU